UACGUAGGGGGCAAGCGUUGUCCGGAAUCAUUGGGCGUAAAGAGCGUGUAGGCGGCCCGGUAAGUCCGCUGUGAAAGUCCAGGGCUCAACCCUGGGAUGCCGGUGGAUACUGUCGGGCUCGAGUCCGGAAGAGGCGAGUGGAAUUCCUGGUGUAGCGGUGAAAUGCGCAGAUAUCAGGAGGAACACCAAUGGCGAAGGCAGCUCGCUGGGACGUGACUGACGCUGAGACGCGAAAGCGUGGGGAUCAAACAGG
rnacentral:rRNA from 1 species